CUUGGGUGGAUCAGUGGCGAACGGGUGAGUAACACGUGAGCAACCUGCCCCGGACUCUGGAAUAAGCGCUGGAAACGGCGUCUAAUACUGGAUAUGACACCAAUCCGCAUGGGUAUGGUGUGGAAAGUUUUUCGGUCUGGGAUGGGCUCGCGGCCUAUCAGCUUGUUGGUGAGGUAAUGGCUCACCAAGGCGACGACGGGUAGCCGGCCUGAGAGGGCGACCGGCCACACUGGGACUGAGACACGGCCCAGACUCCUACGGGAGGCAGCAGUGGGGAAUAUUGCACAAUGGGCGAAAGCCUGAUGCAGCGACGCCGCGUGAGGGAUGACGGCCUUCGGGUUGUAAACCUCUUUCAGCAGGGAAGAAGCGAAAGUGACGGUACCUGCAGAAGAAGCACCGGCUAACUACGUGCCAGCAGCCGCGGUAAUACGUAGGGUGCGAGCGUUGUCCGGAAUUAUUGGGCGUAAAGAGCUUGUAGGCGGUUUGUCGCGUCUGCUGUGAAAAUCCGGGGCUCAACCCCGGACUUGCAGUGGGUACGGGCAGACUAGAGUGUGGUAGGGGAGACUGGAAUUCCUGGUGUAGCGGUGAAAUGCGCAGAUAUCAGGAGGAACACCGAUGGCGAAGGCAGGUCUCUGGGCCACUACUGACGCUGAGAAGCGAAAGCAUGGGGAGCGAACAGGAUUAGAUACCCUGGUAGUCCAUGCCGUAAACGUUGGGCGCUAGGUGUGGGACUC
rnacentral:rRNA from 1 species